CCCGGGCGGGGUGGCUUUACACAUGCAAGUCGAACGAUGAAGCCGGAGCUUGCUCUGGUGGAUUAGUGGCGAACGGGUGAGUAACACGUGAGCAACCUGCCCUGGACUCUGGGAUAAGCGCUGGAAACGGCGUCUAAUACUGGAUACGAGACGUGGCCGCAUGGUCAACGUUUGGAAAGAUUUUUCGGUCUGGGAUGGGCUCGCGGCCUAUCAGCUUGUUGGUGAGGUAAUGGCUCACCAAGGCGUCGACGGGUAGCCGGCCUGAGAGGGUGACCGGCCACACUGGGACUGAGACACGGCCCAGACUCCUACGGGAGGCAGCAGUGGGGAAUAUUGCACAAUGGGCGGAAGCCUGAUGCAGCAACGCCGCGUGAGGGAUGACGGCCUUCGGGUUGUAAACCUCUUUUAGCAGGGAAGAAGCGAAAGUGACGGUACCUGCAGAAAAAGCGCCGGCUAACUACGUGCCAGCAGCCGCGGUAAUACGUAGGGCGCAAGCGUUAUCCGGAAUUAUUGGGCGUAAAGAGCUCGUAGGCGGUUUGUCGCGUCUGCUGUGAAAUCCCGAGGCUCAACCUCGGGCCUGCAGUGGGUACGGGCAGACUAGAGUGCGGUAGGGGAGAUUGGAAUUCCUGGUGUAGCGGUGGAAUGCGCAGAUAUCAGGAGGAACACCGAUGGCGAAGGCAGAUCUCUGGGCCGUAACUGACGCUGAGGAGCGAAAGGGUGGGGAGCAAACAGGCUUAGAUACCCUGGUAGUCCACCCCGUAAACGUUGGGAACUAGUUGUGGGGUCCUUUCCACGGAUUCCGUGACGCAGCUAAACGCAUUAAGUUCCCCGCCUGGGGAGUACGGCCGCAAGGCUAAAACUCAAAGGAAUUGACGGGGACCCGCACAAGCGGCGGAGCAUGCGGAUUAAUUCGAUGCAACGCGAAGAACCUUACCAAGGCUUGACAUACACGAGAACGGGGCAGAAAUGGGUCAACUCUUUGGACACUCGUUGAACAGGU
rnacentral:rRNA from 1 species